rnacentral:misc_RNA from 1 species
GAUGAAGAACGCAGCGAAAUGCGAUAACUAAUGUGAAUUGCAGAAUUCCGUGAAUCAUCGAGUCUUUGAACGCAUAUUGCGCCCCCUGGUAUUCCGGGGGGCAUGCCUGUCCGAGCGUCAUUGCUGCCCAUCAAGCACGGCUUGUGUGUUGGGUCCUCGUCCCCCCCGGGGGACGUGCCCGAAAGGCAGCGGCGGCACCGCGUCCGGUCCUCGAGCGUAUGGGGCUUUGUCACCCGCUCUGCAGGCCCGGCCGGCGCUGGCCGACGCGAAAGCAACCAUUUUUUCUCCAGGUUGACCUCGGAUCAGGUAGGGAUACCCGCUGAACUUAAGCAUAUCAAUAAGCGGAGGA